rnacentral:rRNA from 1 species
UACGAAGGGGGCUAGCGUUGUUCGGAUUUACUGGGCGUAAAGCGCACGUAGGCGGAUCGUUAAGUCGGGGGUGAAAUCCUGGAGCUCGACUCCAGAACUGCCUUCGAUACUGGCGAUCUUGAGUCCGGAAGAGGUGAGUGGAACUCCUAGUGUAGAGGUGGAAUUCGUAGAUAUUAGGAAGAACACCAGUGGCGAAGGCGGCUCACUGGUCCGGUACUGACGCUGAGGUGCGAAAGCGUGGGGAGCAAACAGG